AGAGACAGCAGCAGCCGCGGUAAUACGUAGGUCCCGAGCGUUGUCCGGAUUUAUUGGGCGUAAAGCGAGCGCAGGCGGUUAGAUAAGUCUGAAGUUAAAGGCUGUGGCUUAACCAUAGUACGCUUUGGAAACUGUUUAACUUGAGUGCAAGAGGGGAGAGUGGAAUUCCAUGUGUAGCGGUGAAAUGCGUAGAUAUAUGGAGGAACACCGGUGGCGAAAGCGGCUCUCUGGCUUGUAACUGACGCUGAGGCUCGAAAGCGUGGGGAGCAAACAGGAUUAGAUACCCGCGUAGUCCCUGUCUCUUAUACC
rnacentral:rRNA from 1 species